CUAGGUAUGGGGCGCUGUCUCUGAGGCUCCUUAGAGACUGAUGGGGGUGUCUCCCCAGGACCCAGGGUUAGGGGUUCUGAGUAGAAAGAACACCGUGGGCACCCCGACAGCCCUGACUGUUGCCCCCCCCCCAUUUGAUUCUUUCUGCUCCCAGCCCCCUGAGGUUCUCAGCAGCACUGCUACCCCCCCACUCCCCACCCAUCCCCUGCCUAGAGGGGCAGAGCUGGGCCUGGGCCUGUCACCAGCUGUGUCCUUGAAUUUGUCGUGUGAACUUGGACUUGCCAUGUGACCUUGACAAGGCCUGGGUGCCCAGAGUCUUACUUUUCUGGAGGAGAGGUGUCCAGGGACCUAGGGCAAAAGUGGGGCAGCAGACAGAAGUUUCCAGUCCAAGCCACACUGGACAAUCCACAGAGAGCACCAAAGAGGGGAGCCAGGAGAAAGCAGCCCCUCCCAGGAGGUGGGCAGGCCAGGACUGGGGGGGGGGGGGCAGGGGGCAGCGGCAGAGGGAGGAGGUGCCAUCGAAGCACUGAGUUCCCAGCACUGCUCACAGCAGCCCCCUGCGGUGGGGACCAGAUCGGGAAACAACGGAGGCCCAGACAGGGGGCCAGGCGCCAGGUCCCUGUGGACAAGAAUCUGCUUCCUGGGCCUGAGCCCCCCACCCCCUGGGAGUGGACCCCUCUAUCCCUCCCUGGGCCAGCACCCCGCAUAGGACUGGGGUGAGGACAUGGGGCUGCAAUCACAGACUUCAGGAAAUGGAGAGUGACGCAAUUCCUGCUCCGCUGUUGGGCCGACUUCUCACGGUGGCUCAGGGUGGGGAGCCCAGCCCAACGCAGCCAGGGCACCGGGCAGAGGUCAGGGUUUCGCUGCAGGGCCUCUUCUGCUCUCGGGACCUCAGCCCCGGCAGACAGCCAGGCACUCAGCGGAGGAGAGUGGCCCACCCACAUCUCCCCCGGACUCCUCCACCAAACAGACCAUGGGGACCAGGUGGACACAGGAGACCAGUGAGGGGUGCCUGCCAUGGCCCAGAAGAGUAUAGACAAGGCUGGUCUGAGGGGAGGCCAAGGUCCAGUGGGAUGCCCUAGUGGUUAGAGAGUGGGCAGGCUCAAAGAGGAUGCUGGGGUCAGGCCUGAGAGCUGGGUCAGGUGUGGAGCUGCCAGUAGCUGAGCUGCGUGGGGUUAGGGGUUAGGAGCAGGGCAUGACCCUGCCAAGCUCAGGAUGCGCAAUCAAGAUGCCCAUUAGCUGGGUCCAAGUGCAGGCACUGACUAGAGGGCACAUCCGUCUGUGUCCACGUGUGUGCAUGUGUGUGCAUCUCUCUGUGUGUUCCUCUGUGCAGGUGACAUGCGUGCAUGCCCAUGGGCCCAUGUGUGCCGACCUGGAGUUGGGCCUGGGCCCCGAAAGGCCACCAGGGUGGGUUUGUGUGGCGGGUGCUGAGGUCGAGGCACUCAUCAUGCAUCCGUGAGUCACACGUAUUCCUUUCCGGGAGCACCUGAGUUCUGCCCACCACAGCUGCCCCCUCUUCAAGGCCCUGAGCUUCAGCCCGUCUCCAGGGUCUCCCAGGCCCUCUCGUAGGAGGCCGAGCCCUGGUUUGGGCACCCCCACACCUUCCUCCUUGGGGUGGGGAUCCUGGAUGGGCAGCGGCCCUGCCCGCCCUGGCCACUCCAUGAGCACACCACGAAUGAAGCCAUUCCCUGGCCUUAGGCAAGCAGGCCCUGGACCCAAGAGCCUGCACACAGGACGACGCUGCCGGGACGUGAUUGAAUCCAGUCUCCUCCGGGCAACCGUCUUCCUGGGAGGGAACUUACGGCCGGCUGACCAGGACAGAAAAACGGAAACUCCCCCCACAGUGGUCCAGCCAUAGACGCCUCCACCAGGAAGCCCUCUGGGAAGAAGACGGCCUCUGCGUCCCAGCUCUGUCCAGUGGCCUCCAAGGUCCCCACCCAGCAUCAGCCCUGAGCAUGAGCAGGCAUCGUGUGGGGGGUAAGCCGUUGGCAAGGCCACUUGGCUCUACCUUCAAGACAUACCAGAGCCUAACGCGUCCCGCCGCCUGGUCCCCUCCCGCUGGGACCUGCGCCCACCUCCUCACCGGCCCCUCCUCUGCACACAACCUCUGGAAAACCUUAAUCAGGUCAUAUCCCCGUCUUGGCCAGGCCCCCCGGGCUGCCGUCUCACUCCAAUAAAACUCUUUAUAGUAACCCAUGGGCCGGCCUCCUCCC